UCUGUGUAUUUAUGGCCACUGUUAGUGGCAAGAAACACUUUCUGUACUUCCUUCCUCUGACUCAGAAGCAAUGGCAACUCCCCAUCUUUGACUGUAUACUUCUCGAGAUUUCCAUUUGUCUUUUCCUAAAGGGAUCCUUUGUACGGGACCCAGUGCACUGUGUGUCUCAUACCCUGGAGCAUACUCCAGAAGGAUACGAAGAGGCCCCCAUCUUUAAAUCCUGUGUUACAACUGGUAUAUCUGGGACAAUUAGUCAAUAAAAACAUCUACUAGGCAGGCCAACAGCCCACUGAUUCCAGUUUGUACGGCCCAAAUACUCAUGGACAUGGGGCCAUUCUCUGGAGCAUAGCUGACCUACCAGUGGCCACACCCUUAAGGAAAACUGAGUCUCCUUCUACCAGAAGCCAUCGACUCUCAGAAGUGCCUCAGCUGGGGUGAACUCUUGUGAUCCCCUCCACCCACCAUGAUGAAUAUUGGCUGACUUGGUCUUGGGCAGGUCUUGUAUAGGCACCCACAUCAGCUGUGAGCUCAUGAGUGCUGAGAUCCUGAUCUGUCCAGAUGACAGUGUUUUUGUCAAGUCCUCCAUGACCUCUGUCAGGCUCUUACAGCCUUUCUGCCUCUUUUCCUUGAUUGUCCAUGAACCUUGGGGGAACCAACUAUGAUACAGAUCUUCCUCUUGUGGUUGUCAUUUCACCCUUUGAAUCAUCUGAGAGAUACCUUCUUGUGCUAUCCCCUGGGAUAACAAUAUCAGGCCCAAGAACUGGCUAUCUUUUCCUGGUUUUGCC
rnacentral:lncRNA from 1 species